rnacentral:rRNA from 1 species
UACGAAGGGUGCAAGCGUUAAUCGGAAUUACUGGGCGUAAAGCGUGCGCAGGCGGUCUUGCAAGACAGGUGUGAAAUCCCCGGGCUUAACCUGGGAACUGCACUUGUGACUGCAAGGCUGGAGUACGGCAGAGGGGGAUGGAAUUCCGCGUGUAGCAGUGAAAUGCGUAGAUAUGCGGAGGAACACCGAUGGCGAAGGCAAUCCCCUGGGCCUGUACUGACGCUCAUGGACGAAAGCGUGGGGAGCAAACAGG